UUCAUUUUAUUUUGUUCAGAUAAAUAAAUUUUGCUGCAGCGGACGAUAGCAAACGAACUUUGCGUAGACGCGGAUGUCGAAUAACGCAUUUGGAAUAUUUACAAUAUAAUUAAUGUAUACGUAUUAUUAAAGUAAAAAAUCACAUUGAGUUACUAUAUAAUAGUUAAAAGAACGGAGUUUAGUUUUUGUUAUUUAUAUCGCACAUCGAUGCGCCUCAAAGAAUCAGUGUCGCCAUCGGCUGGUCGGCUCGUGGAAUCAUACUCGUACGCCACAUCGGUACAUCUUCUGACAACUUUUUAUUGGGUUAUGAACGUACAUCGACUAUUUUAAAUUUUACAUUUAAUUUGCCGCGUGUGAAAGUACAAUUAUAAUAAUCUAAAUAAUUAAAGUUCUCUCCCCACUUACAUUUUGCAAUCGUAAUGUUUUAACGUCCCACAAGCAUGAAGAUUGGAAAGAAGAAAAUAUCAGUCCUAUCAGUCCUUCGACGUCUUUUAAGUGAAUUAUAAUAUUGAAUAUGUAAGGCUCGUAAUGUAACGCGGAAAGGUAAAAAGAGGAAUGCUUUAUUAAGAAAUGCGACGUGUUCUGACUGCAUUUGCAAUUGCUAUUACAGAUGAUAGCCUCGAGCGGGGGGAAUUUUUCUGCGAGGGUAUUCGCACGGCCGUUCAGUCUGAUUUGUAAAUUUAAAAAGAGAUGGUUCGAAUCAAGCGCGCGCGAUCACGGCGGGACGCAGUUGACUCAGACGAAUAUCUUCGUGCAAGAAGGCGCGUGCAUACGAGAAGUUCCCUUGAUAGUCAAGAGGAUCACCAACAUCGACGCUCUCCUCGAUAAGCCAAUCCUCGAUAAGCCAAUCCGGAGGAGCGUUAAAUCGUCCAAUAAAAAUAAGAAAUCCGCGAUAAUUCCUAAGGAGAAUGCCCCUUAUUCCAUUGGCACGAUUGGCGCGAUGAAGAACGGCCCUUUAAAGCAUACUAUCAGCAUAGAGACCGACGAAGGUACAGCGAUACUUUAUUGCUCCGAUAUCGAGCGUUUGAAAAAUACGGACGUGGAACAGGUUCUGAAUGCGAUAAACUCGGGGAACGCGGGCAAAGGAGUUUAUUCCCUGUUGGAGAAUAGGAUCGCCGACGAGAUAAAUUGUCGAAUAGCGCUUCAAAGUUUGAGAAAGAUGAUAGAAUUGGAAAGCGGGUGGCAUCGAUACCGGAAGACAUCGUCGAACGCUCAAUCUUCCGCGGAGGUCAUCAAUAGAAACGUCAUUUUGCAGCAACUUGUAAAUCUGAUUGCCAAAAGCCAAGAUAGCGAGACGAUAUUACAAGGACUAAAGGCACUGAAGAGAGACCGAUCUAAUCCUUCGGCAAAUGUUUAUAAAGACCGGAUAUGCAACGAAGUCAUGAUUAAAGCCACGGACGGCGAGCUCACCGUGUCGCAAUUAAUCAGAGCGGUAAAAAUCUUGGCCAAUUACGGAAACUCCAAGUACAGAAACUGCAUCGACACGUUGUGGGUAGGUUUGGCGUGCAGGGAACAGGAUAUUAAACCAGAUCUACUGGUUCCAUUAUUCAGAUCACUGAAAUACUUCCAACGAAGUAAGAGCAUGGUGCAGAUCAUUUUGGAAAAGAAACUGUCGGAGCAGUGGUUGAAGUUGACCGGCUCGCAGAUAGCCAGUAUACUGAAUUGUCUUCAAGGGAUGGAGUCCUCGAAGGGAUGUCUGUCGAGCGCCAGUAAGUGGGCAAGCGUGAGCAUGACCACUUCCAAAGAGAAAGACUUCGUCAAUUUUAUUGGAGGUUUGCACACGAAGAAAUACGUCGACGAGAAUAUAGAACAGGCGUUGGCGAGAUAUGUAACGGCCAAAGGUACCGAGAUGAAGAAUCCUAAUUUAAUCGCCUCUAUCACGAAUUACUGUAAAGAUCUACGAGUUAGAAAUCCAUAUAUUCUUGCGGAAUGUGGAAAAUAUUUUAUAAGACAAGGAAUGGAAAUUCCGCCUACGUUGUUGUCCCCCAUUCUCACACCAUUCGGAUUGCUGAAUCUACAACCACCGGAUUCGAGCGAGUUUUGGAAGACGUUCGACGAGGUGAUGUCCGUGAGAUUCUCAGAUUUGAAGCUGAACGACGCCUUGGACAUUUUUCUCUCCUGCACGUAUCUCGAGAGAUAUCCCAUUAAGCUUUUAGACAAAGUUUUCAGUUCGUACCUUAUGAAUAGGUUGCAAACGCAAAGAGACGCGCCUAUUGUCAAUCGAUUGAAAGAUAAAUUGAAAUUAUUCGACGCGGCCAUGUCGUUAGAAUGCAAAGACUAUCGUGGGAGCCCGAUCAAUUUAGACAGAAACACAAAGUCGUUAGGCUUGGACAUGAGAAUUAGGGGUAUUGUUAAUCAAAUAUACAAACCACUGGCGCACUUGGUAGGCGGCGAGCACAAGUUGAGCAGAAGCGUGGUUUUAAGCAAGUUGCCCCUCAUAAAUUUCUAUAUUUUAGAUGUUCUGAUACACCCGCUUUUAAAGUCUACACCGGUUUUCAACUUAAAUCUGCAUAAAAAAAGAAACGUCAAUACCGCGAUUCUAAUCUACUUGCCCGAAUACUAUUGCUGGAACACGCGGCUGCUAACGGGACCGCAGGUGAUGAGGAAACGUCAAGUUAGGAAAUUGGGUUUCCGAGUUGCAUGUCUAGAUUACGCGAAACUGGCAGAACUCGUAGAUCAUGACGACAAAUUGCUGUCUUAUCUGUCGCAAAGUCUGGAUAUCGCCGAAGAUGCUUUAUAAAUUGUUCCGCGUAGGAUAUACGUAUUUUACGAAUGUGCAAAUUUACGAAUGAAGCUGCAGUGAAACGCAAUUCCGGGUGAUAAAGUCUCCUGAAGAAAUUGAGGUAUUGCGGUAUGUGUGCAAGAUAAGUUCGGAGGCGCACAAGACCAUAAUGCGCUCUAUGUGCCCUGGGAUUUCGGAAUACAAAGCAGAAGCCUCGUUUUUACAUUACAUAUACUCCGUGGGAGGGUGCAGGCACGUGUCUUACACGUGUAUUUGUGGAUCCGGACAUAA